CCGCGUGUGGGACGACGGCCUUCGGGUUGUAAACCUCUUUCAGCACAGACGAAGCGCAUGUGACGGUAUGUGCAGAAGAAGGACCGGCCAACUACGUGCCAGCAGCCGCGGUAAUACGUAGGGUCCGAGCGUUGUCCGGAAUUACUGGGCGUAAAGAGCUCGUACGUGGUUUGUCGCGUUGUUCGUGAAAACUCACAGCUCAACUGUGGGCGUGCGGGCGAUACCGGCAGACUAGAGUACUGCAGGGGAGACUGGAAUUCCUGGUGUAGCGGUGGAAUGCGCAGAUUUCAGGAGGAACACCGGUGGCGAAGGCGGGUCUCUGGGCAGUAACUGACGCUGAGGAGCGAAAGCGUGGGGAGCGAACAGGAUUAGAUACCCUGGUAGUCCACGCCGUAAACGGUGGGUACUAGGUGUGGGUUUCCUUCCUUGGGAUCCGUGCCGUAGCUGCGCAUUAAGUACCCCGCCUGGGGAGUACGGCCGCCGGGCUAAAACUCAAAGAAAUUGACGGGGGCCCGCACAAGCGGCGGAGCAUGUGGAUUAAUUCGAUGCAACGCGAAGAACCUUACCUGGGUUUGACAUGCACAGGACGUGCCUAGAGAUAGGUAUUCCC
rnacentral:rRNA from 1 species